rnacentral:rRNA from 1 species
GUUGUAUGGUUAAGUGACUAAGCGUACACGGUGGAUGCCUUGGCAGUUGGAGGCGAUGAAGGACGUACUAACUUGCGAUAAGCCUAGUCAAGCCAGUAAGAGGCGCUUGAGACUAGGAUUUCCGAAUGGGGAAACCCACCUGCUUGCAGGUAUCGUUAACUGAAUACAUAGGUUAACGAGGCGAACGCGGAGAACUGAAACAUCUAAGUACCCGUAGGAAAAGAAAUCAACCGAGAUUCCGAAAGUAGCGGCGAGCGAAAUCGGACCAGCCCUUAAGCUUUAGUGUAGUUAGUGGAACAUGUUGGAAAGCAUGACGAAACAGGGUGAUAGUCCCGUACACAAAAACUUAUCUAAAGUGAAAUCGAGUAGGUCGGAGCACGUGAAACUUUGACUGAAUAUGGGGGGACCAUCCUCCAAGGCUAAAUACUCCCAACUGACCGAUAGUGAACCAGUACCGUGAGGGAAAGGCGAAAAGAACCCCUGUGAGGGGAGUGAAAUAGAACCUGAAACCGUGUACGUACAAGCAGUAGGAGCCUACUUGUUGGGUGACUGCGUACCUUUUGUAUAAUGGGUCAGCGACUUAUAUUCUGUAGCGAGGUUAACCAUUUAGGGGAGCCGUAGCGAAAGCGAGUCUUAACUGGGCGCUUAAGUUGCAGGGUAUAGACCCGAAACCCGGUGAUCUAGCCAUGGGCAGGUUGAAGGUUGAGUAACAUCAACUGGAGGACCGAACCCACUAACGUUGAAAAGUUAGGGGAUGACCUGUGGCUAGGAGUGAAAGGCUAAUCAAACCGGGAGAUAGCUGGUUCUCCCCGAAAUCUAUUUAGGUAGAGCCUCGGACGAAUACUUACGGGGGUAGAGCACUGUUAAGGCUAGGGGGUCAUCCCGACUUACCAACCCUUUGCAAACUCCGAAUACCGUAAAGUAAUAUCCGGGAGACACACGGCGGGUGCUAACGUCCGUCGUGGAGAGGGAAACAACCCAGACCGUCAGCUAAGGUCCCAAAGUGUAUGUUAAGUGGGAAACGAUGUGGGAAGGCUAAAACAGCUAGGAGGUUGGCUUAGAAGCAGCCACCCUUUAAAGAAAGCGUAAUAGCUCACUAGUCGAGUCGGCCUGCGCGGAAGAUGUAACGGGGCUAAACAUACCACCGAAGCUACGGCUGCAGACUUUGUCUGCGGGGUAGGGGAGCGUUCUGUAAGUGGCUGAAGGUGUGCCGGGAGGCAUGCUGGACAUAUCAGAAGUGCGAAUGCUGACAUGAGUAACGACAAGAGGAGUGAAAAACUCCUCCGCCGGAAGACCAAGGGUUCCUAUCCCAUGUUAAUCAGGGUAGGGUGAGUCGACCCCUAAGGCGAGGCUGAAGAGCGUAGUCGAUGGGAAACGGGUUAAUAUUCCCGUACUCGGUAUGAAUGCGAUGGGGGGACGGAGCAGGCUAGGCAAGCAUGGCGUUGGUUGUCCAUGUGAAAGGCUGUAGGCUGGUGACUUAGGAAAAUCCGGGUUGCCAAGGCUGAGAGUCGAGACGAGCCACCAAGGUGGUGAAGUUGUUGAUGCCCUACUUCCAGGAAAAGCCUCUAAGCUUCAGUUCAUACUGAAUCGUACCCUAAACCGACACAGGUGGUCAGGUAGAGAAUACUAAGGCGCUUGAGAGAACUCGGGUGAAGGAACUAGGCAAAAUUGUACCGUAACUUCGGGAGAAGGUACGCUCUUGUUUGUGAAAGACUUGCUCUGUAAGCAAACGAGAGCCGCAGUGACCAGGUGGCUGGGACUGUUUAUUAAAAACACAGCACUGUGCAAAAUCGUAAGAUGACGUAUACGGUGUGACACCUGCCCGGUGCCGGAAGGUUAAUUGAUGGGGUUAGCUUAGGCGAAGCUCUUGAUCGAAGCCCCGGUAAACGGCGGCCGUAACUAUAACGGUCCUAAGGUAGCGAAAUUCCUUGUCGGGUAAGUUCCGACCUGCACGAAUGGUGUAACCAUGGCCACGCUGUCUCCACCCGAGACUCAGUGAAAUUGAAAUCGCAGUGAAGAUGCUGUGUACCCGCGGCUAGACGGAAAGACCCCGUGAACCUUUACUACAGCUUGGCACUGAACAUUGACCCUACAUGUGUAGGAUAGGUGGGAGGCUUUGAAGCAGAGACGCUAGUUUCUGUGGAGCCGACCUUGAAAUACCACCCUUGUAGUGUUGAUGUUCUAACUUAGGCCCCUGAAUCGGGGUUGAGGACAGUGCCUGGUGGGUAGUUUGACUGGGGCGGUCUCCUCCCAAAGAGUAACGGAGGAGCACGAAGGUUUGCUAAGUACGGUCGGACAUCGUACGGUUAGUGUAAUGGUAGAAGCAAGCUUAACUGCGAGACAGACACGUCGAGCAGGUACGAAAGUAGGUCAUAGUGAUCCGGUGGUUCUGAAUGGAAGGGCCAUCGCUCAACGGAUAAAAGGUACUCCGGGGAUAACAGGCUGAUACCGCCCAAGAGUUCAUAUCGACGGCGGUGUUUGGCACCUCGAUGUCGGCUCAUCACAUCCUGGGGCUGAAGUCGGUCCCAAGGGUAUGGCUGUUCGCCAUUUAAAGUGGUACGCGAGCUGGGUUUAGAACGUCGUGAGACAGUUCGGUCCCUAUCUGCCGUGGGCGUUUGAGAAUUGAGAGGGGCUGCUCCUAGUACGAGAGGACCGGAGUGGACGAACCGCUGGUGUUCGGGUUGUGAUGCCAAUUGCAUUGCCCGGUAGCUACGUUCGGAACUGAUAACCGCUGAAAGCAUCUAAGCGGGAAGCAGGCCUCGAGAUGAGUUCUCACUUUGACUUAGAGUCAACUGAAGGGCCGUUGAAGACUACAACGUUGAUAGGCGAGAUGUGGAAGUGCUGUGAGGCAUUAAGCUAACUCGUACUAAUUACCCGUGAGGCUUAACCAUACAACGCCAAAGUGGUUU